AUCACUUUAUGUAGAUACUUUAUCAAGCAUACUACCAUUUUCUACACCUACAGCAAAUACUUUAUCAAGCAUGCUACCAUUUCCUACACCUACAGCAAGUAUGACUUCACCACCAAGUACAAGUCCUAAUUCAUUAUAUUGGCUGUUACUAAUUUUUGUCGCACCAGUAGUUAUAUUGGUCAUAACAUGUGUUAUAAUCUUAUAUUAUAUCAAAAGGAGUACACAAUCUUUUGAUUUUGUAGUCAAUGUUGUCUAGCUGAACUUACUGUAUUGCUUCAUAAAUUGGAGUAGUUAAUGAAACUUUUGAAUAUGCUGGAUUCAUUAUAAUGUUUACUGCUGCUUGAGGUACAUGUGCAGUGUUAGCAGCAUAGGCUGGAUUUUCAGUGAUGCUUUUUUCUG